UAUUAAGACACUUGCUAGUCAUUAUGGUAGACCCAGACUGGAUGUUUUCAUGGGUCACAGAGUUGAAGUUCAGCCAGUGUACACUGAGGACGCAAUUGUUCAAGAGUUUAACCAAUUUAAAAGACAGAUGUUGAUGUUGAAUUGAGUUGUUCUAGUGCUGGCAGAUUAACUUUCAGUAUCACAGUCUGUCAGUAGAAUAUGCAGCACUGAAAUUGUUACUGUUAACCAUCUAAUUAUUUUAGCACAGGAAUCCAAGACCUGAACUGUAUGAAGAAAUGGUGAAAGAUGAAGUGCUCCGCAAUGCAUUCCCAAUAAUGUUUUACUUUGUUGGGCUGGCUAAGACCAUUCCAAGCAGCACAGCAAGUGUUGAGAGGACAUUUAGUCUCAUGAACUCUCUGUGUACUUCCAGCAGAAGCAGACUGAACCAGUCUUCUUUGGAUGCAUUAAUGCGUAUUUGUGUUCACAAUCAAGGGCACAAGUCCCUUUCUAGUCAGGAACUAAAUGAUACAAUAACACAGUUCAAAAAUAUGAAAACCAGAGACCUACUUUUGUGAACUAAAUCAUAUUAGAAAAGGAAUAUAUUGCCUCUGGAAACUUGAAAAUGUUGUUUGUUUUUUCCCAAUUUAGGGCAAAAUGCCGCUAAAAUUCCCAAUCUCAAGGGUAUGGGUCAUGUUCCCAAAAUACUGAAAAAAACCCUGUGAUAUGAAUUUGAGAUUUUGGAAACAAUCUGAAGACAGGUAAAACAACAAAAGAGCGGAUAAACGCUUACCUGGGCAUGUUUUUCACACCUUUGGCGAUCAUAAAUGUCCUAAUAACAAUUGUUUAUUGUACUUGGCUAUCAAAUUGAACAAGCGUUAUAGCGCGCUAUAAAUCUAAGUCUACUUAAA